rnacentral:rRNA from 1 species
AACGAACGCUGGCGGCAUGCCUAACACAUGCAAGUCGAACGAAGCCUUCAGGCUUAGUGGCGCACGGGUGCGUAACGCGUGGGAAUCUGCCCUUGGGUUCGGAAUAACAGUUAGAAAUGACUGCUAAUACCGAAUGAUGUCUUCGGACCAAAGAUUUAUCGCCCAAGGAUGAGCCCGCGUCGGAUUAGCUAGUUGGUGAGGUAAAGGCUCACCAAGGCGACGAUCCGUAGCUGGUCUGAGAGGAUGAUCAGCCACACUGGGACUGAGACACGGCCCAGACUCCUACGGGAGGCAGCAGUGGGGAAUAUUGGACAAUGGGCGAAAGCCUGAUCCAGCAAUGCCGCGUGAGUGAUGAAGGCCUUAGGGUUGUAAAGCUCUUUUACCCGGGAUGAUAAUGACAGUACCGGGAGAAUAAGCCCCGGCUAACUCCGUGCCAGCAGCCGCGGUAAU